CAAUAGCGUAUAUUAAAGUUGUUGCAGUUAAAAAGCUCGUAGUUGGAUUUCUGGUUGGGUGCCAAGCCCCGCCCUGUGCGGUUGUGCGAGGCGCCCUUCCAUCCUUCUGUUAGCGCCUCUCGGCAUUCAUUUGCUGGUGGCGGGCUCAGAUAUUUUACCUUGAGAAAAUUAGAGUGUUUCAGGCAGGCUAAGCCGGAAUACAUUAGCAUGGAAUAAUGGAAUAGGACUGAGGUCUCUUUGUUGGUUUGAGGGACUGCAGUAAUGAUUAAUAGGGACAGUUGGGGGCAUUAGUAUUUAAUAGUCAGAGGUGGAAUUCUACGAUUUGUUAAAGACUAACCUAUGCGAAAGCAUUUGCCAAGGAUGUUUUCAUUAA
rnacentral:rRNA from 1 species